CACGUAAGGGGCGAGCGUUGUUCGGAUUUAUUGGGCGUAAAGGGCGUGUAGGCGGUUUGGCAAGCCUGAUGUGAAAUACCCCGGCUUAACCGGGGGGACGCGUUGGGAACUGUCAGACUAGAAUGUAAGAGGGGUAGUUGGAAUUCCAGGUGUAGGGGUGAAAUCUGUAGAUAUCUGGAAGAACACCGGUGGCGAAGGCGAACUACUGGCUAUACAUUGACGCUGAGGCGCGAAAGUGUGGGGAGCGAACAGG
rnacentral:rRNA from 1 species